GACGUUUCAAUCGGAUCCGUUGAAAACGAGGUUAGAUCUGAUCCACAAGCAAGCCACCGAUCACCUCACGCUUGUGAACGCUUACGCUGCUUACGCUAGGAAGCUGAAGCUCGACGCGUCGAAGCAGCUGAAGCUCUUCGAAGAUCUGGCGGUUAACUUCUCCGAUCUGCAGGCCAAACCUGGACUGAAGCUCGAAAACGGGAACGCGAUCGAGGAGGAUGCGUUUCGGCAGAUCGAGAAAGAGGUUAAAGAUAAGGUGAAGACCGCGAGGAUGAUGAUCGUUGAGUCCAAAGAGAGUUACGAUACACAGCUCAAGAUCCAGAAGCUCAAGGAUACGAUCUUCGCUGUUCAAGAACAGUUGACGAAAGCUAAGAAAAACGGCGCCGUUGCGAGCUUGAUCUCGGCUAAGUCGGUUCCCAAGAGUCUUAACUGUUUGGCUAUGAGGCUUGUUGGUGAGAGGAUCUCUAACCCUGAGAAGUAUAAGGAUGCUCCGUUUGAUUCGGCUGUGUUGGAGGAUCCGAGUCUUUAUCACUACGCGGUUUUCUCUGAUAAUGUGAUUGCUGUUUCCGUUGUGGUGAGGUCGGUUGUGGUGAACGCUGAGGAGCCGUGGAAGCAUGUGUUUCAUGUGGUGACUGAUAGGAUGAAUCUCGCCGCUAUGAAGGUUUGGUUUAAGAUGCGUCCUUUGGACCGUGGUGCUCGUGUUGAGAUUAAGUCGGUUGAGGAGUUUAAGUUCUUGAACUCUUCGUAUGCGCCGGUCUUGAGGCAGCUAGAGUCUGCUAAGUUGCAGAAGUUUUACUUUGAGAACCAGGCGGAGAACGCGACUAGAGAUGAACAUAACAUCAAGUUCAAGAACCCCAAGUAUCUCUCGGUGUUGAACCAUCUGAGAUUCUACUUACCGGAGAUGUAUCCGAAGCUGAAUAAGAUCUUGUUCUUGGACGAUGAUGUUGUGGUGCAGAAGGACGUGACUGGGUUGUGGAAGAUUAAUUUAGAUGGGAAGGUGAAUGGAGCUGUUGAGACGUGCUUUGGCUCUUUUCAUCGAUAUGGUCAAUACCUAAACUUCACUCAUCCUCUGAUCAAAGAGAGCUUUAAUUAGAGUCUGCUAAGUUGCAGAAGUUUUACUUUGAGAACCAGGCGGAGAACUCGACUAGAGAUGAACAUAACAUCAAGUUCAAGAACCCCAAGUAUCUCUCGGUGUUGAACCAUCUGAGAUUCUACUUACCGGAGAUGUAUCCGAAGCUGAAUAAGAUCUUGUUCUUGGACGAUGAUGUUGUGGUGCAGAAGGACGUGACUGGGUUGUGGAAGAUUAAUUUAGAUGGGAAGGUGAAUGGAGCUGUUGAGACGUGCUUUGGCUCUUUUCAUCGAUAUGGUCAAUACCUAAACUUCACUCAUCCUCUGAUCAAAGAGAGCUUUAACCCCAAUGCUUGUGCUUGGGCCUUUGGGAUGAAUAUAUUUGAUCUCAAUGCUUGGAGGCGUGAGAAAUGCACUGAUCAAUACCAUUACUGGCAGAACUUGGUAAGUCCGUAUCUUUUCUUUGUAACUUAUGCAUAUCAAAUAAUCUCUUUAUCUUGUGUUGAUUGUGUGUUAAUCUCUCUUGAGCAGAAUGAAGACAGAAGUCUCUGGAAAUUAGGCACUCUGCCUCCGGGACUGAUGACAUUCUAUUCAAAGACGAAAUCACUGGACAAGUCAUGGCAUGUGCUUGGGUUAGGCUACAACCCAGGAGUGAGCAUGGACGAGAUUAAAAAAGCAGCAGUGAUACAUUACAAUGGAAACAUGAAACCAUGGCUCGACAUUGCUAUGAACCAAUACAAGUCUCUCUGGACUAAAUACGUCGACAACGAAAUGGAGUUUGUGCAGAUGUGCAAUUUUGGUCUUUAAAGAAAGAUAUCGAUGAAGAGGUAACCUCAAAUCGAUAUGUGUUCAGUCAUUCAGGGCAUUCUUUAGCUUAUAUACGUUUAUCUUUUACUAGGGAUUGGUCCGCCCUACGGGCGGGUAAGUUUACAAUAAAAUUCUUUAUAUUAAAAUAUAUUUUAAUUUUAUAAAACAUUUAAAAAUUAUUUUAAGUAUAAUUUGUUUUCUAAGAUCAUAUUGUAAAUUUCAUUUGUUAAACGUUAAACAACUGUUAUAAAUUUUCUUCUAAUAUCAUACCUUAUUUGUUAUUUGAGUUUCUAAGAAAAUGUAAAUUGGUAGUGCAUUAGGUUUGCAUUUGGAAUUGAUAUGUGUGAUACUGAUUUUAGUUUUUUUAAAAUGUUGUGUGUCAGGAAGUGUGAUUGCAUGAGGUCAUUUGGAUGAGGAAUUAAAUGUGAUGUGAGUGAGUUUGUAUGCUUCUGAAACUGAUUUAUAGUAUACAAUACCAGUAAAUUUGAUUUGUAUGAACAAUUUGAAUUGGAGAAGAAGUGUUCGGUUAAUAUAUUUCAAAACUUUAUGGGCUUUCAAGGAUUUUUGUGUUGUUGGUCGUUUAAGUUUGGAAUCCACACUCCAUUGAGUAACUGUUUUUUUUUUGCGCUUGGGAGCUCGUCAUCGUUUUGCUUGGAGUAUUUAUUUUUGCAAAACAGUUGAUAUUUAUACUUAUAUCAAGUGAUUCGUAAUAAAUUUAUGGUUAAACAUUUGGCCUCACAAUGUCUAUUUUAGUUAUUUCAAUCUCAUAGGAAUGAGUUUAUUUGUUUUAUACAACCAAUUCUCAUAGUUUAAUGUGAGUGACAUUCAUCCUACAUAAAAGUUGAAUAGGAGUAGUGUGUACUUUGUUUAAUCAUUUAUAAUCAGUUGGUAUAUUUUCUCUUUUUCAUAGUGGGAUGAUUGGUUUAAAGAACUUUAAUGGCAAAAAAGGAACCUUAAUGGCAAUCUGAAUUACGUUGGUUGAAUGAUGAUCUAAGGCAUAGCAAAGUCGGAUUUAGAAAGGUGGUAAAAUCAAGAUUUAGCCAUAGGUCAAUGAAAAUGUUAAACCGAUGGAGGCAUUAGUAGGAAAGCAAUGGUUUGUCAGCUCGAUCAGUUGGUCUAAAUGUUAAAUUAGUAACGCCAAUUAAAACCAAAGAUUCCAAUAGGAAAACUUGAAAAAACUUGUGAAAUGGAAGGUUUUGAACACGAAUGGGUUCAUUUAGUAUAUUGAUAUGUUUGUGAUUUUAAUGUUUUUAUUUGUGUGUUCCUCGGUUAAUUUAUUCUCAAAUGUUUUUAUAUGCUUAUUUGAUGAUAAGUGAUUUUUUUUAUAACAUGAUUAAGAUUAGCAAUUUUGUGAUAAGUUAACUAUCACAUUAUGUGUCAUGUUUUACAAUUAUAUUUAUUCAUAUUUUGGUUUCCUAAUAUUAUAAUUAUUAUUUUUAUAGGUAUUUUAACGGCUAAUGACUAAUUUUUUAGUUGUUGAUUUAUAUUUGUAAUAGUAAUUAAAAAUUCUAAAUUAUUGUUCUGCUUUAUUUUACUUAACUUUGCUUUCAAUUAAUAUUUAUUUUAUUAAUUGUGUUUUUACAGUCUUAAUAUUGUUUUUUUUUGGAAUUACCAUUUUCAUUAUAAAUUAAAAGGUUUUGGUUCAGUAUAUUUAUGUAUUAGUAUAGCUUUUUCGUUUCUAGAUUGAAGAGAAAAAACAAUGAAAAUAUUUGAAGUUUAAUAGAAUUUCAAAUUAAAUGUUAUAUAAAUUAUAUAAAUAUUUGAUACACGUCAUUUUAUAUUUAUUAUUUUAGUUUUUAUUUAGAUUUGUAACAAUUUAUGUAACUGGAAUUUUUAUCACAAAUAUACAAUUUAAUUGUCCCAGCAUAUCUUUACAUUUUAAUCAAUAUGUUUAAUUAAUGUUAUUUCAUAUUCGUUUGAUUGUAAUUUCGAUAUUGGUCAUCAUGUUUGUUACGGUUAGUAUAGCACAUCAAAAUUGUGAGAAUCUGAGAACCUGUUUUUGUAAGCUUCCACUCUUUGGCUCAACAGCCCCAUAGUAUGGAAUCGAAACCUGUUUGGGCACUUAUACAACCAAUUUGAGCAUGGAAGAGUGUGAUUCUUGUCGUGUCUAAAACUUGUGAGCAGAAGUUGGGUUACGGAACUAAAGACGAUAAGUGAUAAUCGUAGGAAUUUUCUUUAUUGUUAGGAUAAUUUCAAGACAGAGGAGAUGAUUUCAGGGUGCCCAAAUACAAAGUAAAGAUAAUCUUAUUCAAGAGUUGUGUUAUAAAGUCUUGUGUGCCUUCUUUGAUGGGACCCUCUGGCGCAGGAAACAGAGCUUCUCCAGCAGUGUUUCCGCUCAAUACAUUAGGUACUCCAGGUGAUGUGUCCGUAUCACUUCGUUCGUCCGCCGGUCGGUUAUGCUUCUGGAGGUGUUCUCGGACCCAUGGAGUCAGAGCCAUUGCAGAAGAUACACGUAGAUACUCUAUUUUUAUGCACCUCCACAAUUAUCAGAACUGGAUGAUCAGUUGACGUCACUCCCACGCAAUCUGCAGUUGAGAACGUGUAAGAUUCUUGAGAAAGUGUGUAGGAGGGAAGUGAUACAAACAUCCUGUUGUUCAAGAUUCUUACUCUUGGAAGAAGCUCUAGCCAGAGCCGCUUUCAUUGUUAAAGUAGAAAUGAGUGUCAGAUGUUGUAUUAAGGAAUAGUCGACCUGCAAGCAGAACUAAGUAAGCUCCAUAAGAUGUUCUGAAUCAGAACUUCUGAUGCACAAAGUGAAUGCACAGACUCUGUGAUCUUGACGAUCUGGGUAAGUUAGGUGUAGAUCGCAACUGUUGAGUCUGAAAAUCUGAAGUGAUUGUUGAUUCUGUAAGACUAUGUAGCAAAUUUUGAAUAAGCUAGUUGUGGAGUUCAUUCACAGAGUGCUCUCGCUCCUUAGUUGUGGCAGCUUUAGUGUUUGCUUCCUCGAUAUUCGUAGAAGUUUAAAAAAAAAAUGAAAGAAUACAAAAAUAAAUAGUUGAUAAGCUGUAUAGCAGUGAUUUUCAAAAUAGUGUGGGCAUAAAAAUGAAAAUUUGGAUAUAUUAGUCGACACAUACUCUAGUGAAAGACAUUACCUUGUUACAAUAUGCAAUCUCCAACUGUUUAAUGUUUCUGGCCUCUAAGCACACACCAGUUAUCUCCAUUCCAGUACACGGGGAAACAAUGCCUCCUCACCAAGUUCAACAUGUCAGAAACAUAGAUUGGAUAUAAGCACUCUAAAGGUUAAACAUGUUAACAUUUUAAAACACUGCAGAGAACAAUGGUACCUCAUAUAGACGACUCUAAACAGGUGCACCAGCUAUCCCCUCUUGUAGAAGACGCAAAAUCUUCUGAAAGAGUUUUAAUUGAUUGCUUAUUCGAGUUACUUUUAAGGAAUGGAAGUAAACCUGGUGAUCGGCGGUGGGACUGUCUAGUGGAGAUGAUGCGAGCGCCGAUGUUGUCCUGUCGAAUCUGCUGCGCUGAACCAGUUCCUGUUGUUUUAAAUCACAUUAAUCAGACCAAAUAUUAUGCGAGUAUAUUCAUUCUUCAAUUAAUUAUUGAGUGGCAAAAUUAAAAAUGAAAUAAUCAAUUGUUACAAAAUGGACAGAAACUUUAUGUUUGUUUAAUUUUUUUAAAAAUUUUGUGCAGUUAAGUGUUAGUUGAUAAUAAUUUUACGCAAACAAUACUUUUAAGUAUUUAAGCUGCUGGUUUCAAAUACUUUGGUAAUAAAAUGUUAAUGUCCUAAAGUAUAAGGGUGAGACUGGGGUUUUAAUAAUAUUGAGAGUUUAUAUCUACACUAUAAAUUAGUAAUUGUUUAUUAAACCAAUGAUUAAUGACAUUAACGUGUCUUCUUCACUAAAAUGUCUUGAGAUCUCUAUCCAUCCCAUCACUCUCCAGAGGCUAAUUCACACUCUAUCGGGCAAGCAAGAACCUCAUCCCCAUCUGAACUUUUUUUUUUUUAAACUGACUUAUAAAAGGUAAAGCUAAAUGGCGGUGGCCUUCCAUGGAGGCCGGAACGGCGUCGGAUCGGGACUCCGCAGUUUCUUCUCGUACCGGAUCUUCAUCUCCGCCUUGUUCUCUUUCCUCUUCCUCGCCACCUUCUCCGUUGUCCUCAACUCCUCUCGUCACCAACCUCAUCUCGAUCACGUAAGCUUCCGAUUCGUUUCACAAUCCGAAUCAAAAUUUAGAAAUGAAUUUAGAAUCUGAGCUUCGAUUUUUGGUGUUUAGACAUUGCCGAGGACGUUUCAAUCGGAUCCGUUGAAAGCUAGGUUAGAUCUGAUCCACAAGCAAGCCACCGAUCACCUCACGCUUGUGAACGCUUACGCUGCUUACGCUAGGAAGCUCAAGCUCGACGCGUCGAAGCAGCUGAAGCUCUUCGAAGAUCUGGCGGUUAACUUCUCCGAUCUGCAGGCCAAACCUGGACUGAAGCUCGAAAACGGGAACGCGAUCGAGGAGGAUGCGUUUCGGCAGAUCGAGAAAGAGGUUAAAGAUAAGGUGAAGACCGCGAGGAUGAUGAUCGUUGAGUCCAAAGAGAGUUACGAUACACAGCUCAAGAUCCAGAAG
rnacentral:lncRNA from 1 species